GGCGUAGGUGGCCUUUCAAGUCCGAUGUGAAAUCUCCCGGCUUAACUGGGAGGGUGCAUCGGAUACUGUGGGGCUGGAGUGCAGCAGAGGGAGAUGGAAUUCCCGGUGUAGUGGUGAAAUGCGUAGAUAUCGGGAGGAACACUAGUGGCGAAGGCGGUCUCCUGGGAUGUUACUGACACUGAGGCCCGAAGGCGUGGGGAGCAAACAGGAUUAGAUACCCUGGUAGUCCACGCAGUAAACGAUGAGUACUAGGUAUGGGGAGUAUCGACCCUCUCCGUGCCGAAGCUAACGCUUUAAGUACCCCGCCUGGGGAGUACGGUCGCAAGACUAAA
rnacentral:rRNA from 1 species